UACAGAGGGUGCGAGCGUUGUCCGGAAUCACUGGGCGUAAAGCGCACGUAGGCGGAUACUUAAGUCAGGGGUGAAAUCCCGGGGCUCAACCCCGGAACUGCCUUUGAUACUGGGUAUCUCGAGUCCGGAAGAGGUGAGUGGAAUUCCGAGUGUAGAGGUGAAAUUCGUAGAUAUUCGGAGGAACACCAGUGGCGAAGGCGGCUCACUGGUCCGGUACUGACGCUGAGGUGCGAAAGCGUGGGGAGCAAACAGG
rnacentral:rRNA from 1 species